rnacentral:rRNA from 1 species
AUUGAACGCUGGCGGCAUGCUUUACACAUGCAAGUCGAACGGCAGCGCGGGCUUCGGCCUGGCGGCGAGUGGCGAACGGGUGAGUAAUGCAUCGGAACGUGCCCAGUAGUGGGGGAUAGCCCGGCGAAAGCCGGAUUAAUACCGCAUACGACCUGAGGGUGAAAGCGGGGGACCGAAAGGCCUCGCGCUAUUGGAGCGGCCGAUGUCGGAUUAGCUAGUUGGUGGGGUAAAGGCUUACCAAGGCGACGAUCCGUAGCUGGUCUGAGAGGACGACCAGCCACACUGGGACUUAGACAAGGCCCAGACUCCUAAGGGAAGCAGGAGGGGGGAAAUUUGGACAAUGGGGGCAACCCUGAUCCAGCCAUGCCGCGUGCGGGAAGAAGGCCUUCGGGUUGUAAACCGCUUUUGUUCGGGAAGAAAUCCUCUGGGCUAAUACCCCGGGGGGAUGACGGUACCGGAAGAAUAAGCACCGGCUAACUACGUG